rnacentral:rRNA from 1 species
UACGUAGGUGGCAAGCGUUAUCCGGAAUUACUGGGCGUAAAGCUCACGCAGGCGGCCCUUUAAGUUUGACGUGAAAGCUCUCGGCUUAACUGGGAGAGGUCGUUGAAUACUGGGAGGCUUGAGGAAAUGAGAGGGGUGUAGAAUUCCCGGUGUAGUGGUGGAAUGCGUAGAUAUCGGGGGGAAUACCAGUGGCGAAAGCGGCACCCUAGCAUUUUUCUGACGCUCAUGUGCGAAAGCGUGGGGAGCGAACGGG